CUGGAAUGAUUUGCCCCUUCAUGAUAUAGAUACUGAUGGAAGUAGUCGCUGCUUUGAGGUCUAAAUGGACAUCUCUCUUGUACGCCGCACUGUGCUGUAGUGACAUCUGGUGACAUAAUACAUGCAUUACACUUUGUUAGAGCACCAACCAAUGGGCAACAGGGAAAUCCACAUGUUUCCACCCAGAGAGGAAGAGUAUAUAAAAACAGAGCUUCCACAUUCAGCUUCAAAGCCAAGAUGAUCAAGUUCUUGCAUGGCUGGUCUCAACAUAAAACUCAGUGAGGAGGCUGUGAUCUUCAGUAAGAGAAGAACCAAGUUUUGUUGUUACAAACAUGCUAGGAGUCACCUGGAAUCUCUCUUUGAAAGAAAUUGACUGUAAAGACUUCCCAAAGCUUUCACCAUCCAUAGACAGGUGAGGGGAGAGCAGAACAACAGAAUGCACUGGUUGUUUCUUCUUAGAUUUUAUUAUUCUUGU